UGGCGGCGUGCCUAAUACAUGCAAGUCGAGCGCGGGAAGCGGACUCGUCACCCUUCGGGGUGUCUAGUCCGUGGAACGAGCGGCGGACGGGUGAGUAUCACGUGGGCAACCUGCCUGUAAGAUUGGGAUAACUCGCGGAAACGUGAGCUAAUACCGAAUGAAGUCUUUCACCGCCUGGUGAAAGGAUGAAAGAUGGCUUUUUAGCUAUCACUUACAGAUGGGCCCGCGGCGCAUUAGCUAGUUGGUGGGGUAAAGGCCUACCAAGGCGACGAUGCGUAGCCGACCUGAGAGGGUGAUCGGCCACACUGGGACUGAGACACGGCCCAGACUCCUACGGGAGGCAGCAGUAGGGAAUCUUCCGCAAUGGACGAAAGUCUGACGGAGCAACGCCGCGUGAAGUGAUGAAGGUCUUCGGAUCGUAAAACUCUGUUGUCAGGGAAGAACAAGUUGUGUUCUAACAGGACACGACCUUGACGGUACCUGACCAGAAAGCCCCGGCUAACUACGUGCCAGCAGCCGC
rnacentral:rRNA from 1 species